UGGGGAAUAUUGCACAAUGGGGGAAACCCUGAUGCAGCGACGCCGCGUGAACGAAGAAGGUAUUCGUAUCGUAAAGUUCUGUCCUAUGGGAAGAUAAUGACAGUACCAUAGAAGAAAGCUCCGGCUAAAUACGUGCCAGCAGCCGCGGUAAUACGUAUGGAGCGAGCGUUGUCCGGAAUUAUUGGGCGUAAAGGGUACGCAGGCGGUUUAAUAAGUCGAAUGUUAAAGAUCGGGGCUCAACCGCGCAAAGCAUUGGAAACUGAUAAACUUGAGUAGUGGAGAGGAAAGUGGAAUUCCUAGUGUAGUGGUGAAAUACGUAGAUAUUAGGAGGAAUACCAGUAGCGAAGGCGACUUUCUGGACACAAACUGACGCUGAGGUACGAAAGCGUGGGGAGCAAACAGG
rnacentral:rRNA from 1 species